GUUUUGGUAGCUUAUGUGUAAAGCAGCAAGCUUUUAACUUGUAGAAGGGAGAAUCCCCCGGAAUA